UACGUAGGGGGCAAGCGUUGUCCGGAUUUAUUGGGCGUAAAGAGCGUGUAGGCGGCUAGAUAGGUCCGUUGUGAAAACUCGAGGCUCAACCUCGAGACGUCGAUGGAAACCAUCUGGCUAGAGUCCGGAAGAGGAGAGUGGAAUUCCUGGUGUAGCGGUGAAAUGCGCAGAUAUCAGGAAGAACACCUAUGGCGAAGGCAGCUCUCUGGGGCGGUACUGACGCUGAGACGCGAAAGCGUGGGGAGCGAACAGG
rnacentral:rRNA from 1 species